CUACGUGCCAGCAGCCGCGGUAAUACGUAGGUGGCAAGCGUUGUCCGGAAUUAUUGGGCGUAAAGCGCGCGCAGGCGGAUUGGUCAGUCUGUCUUAAAAGUUCGGGGCUUAACCCCGUGAUGGGAUGGAAACUGCCGAUCUAGAGUAUCGGAGAGGAAAGUGGAAUUCCUAGUGUAGCGGUGAAAUGCGUAGAUAUUAGGAAGAACACCAGUGGCGAAGGCGACUUUCUGGACGAAAACUGACGCUGAGGCGCGAAAGCCAGGGGAGCGAACGGGAUUAGAUACCCCGGUAGUCCUGGCCGUAAACGAUGGGUACUAGGUGUAGGAGGUAUCGACCCCUUCUGUGCCGGAGUUAACGCAAUAAGUACCCCGCCUGGGGAGUACGACCGCAAGGUUGAAACUCAAAGGAAUUGACGGGGGCCCGCACAAGCGGUGGAGUAUGUGGUUUAAUUCGACGCAACGCGAAGAACCUUACCAGGUCUUGACAUUGAUGGACAGAACUAGAGAUAG
rnacentral:rRNA from 1 species